AUUGAACGCUGGCGGCAUGCUUUACACAUGCAAGUCGAACGGUAACAGGCCGCAAGGUGCUGACGAGUGGCGAACGGGUGAGUAAUGCAUCGGAACGUGCCCAGUCGUGGGGGAUAACUACUCGAAAGAGUAGCUAAUACCGCAUACGAUCUAUGGAUGAAAGCGGGGGACCGUAAGGCCUCGCGCGAUUGGAGCGGCCGAUGUCAGAUUAGGUAGUUGGUGGGGUAAAGGCUCACCAAGCCAACGAUCUGUAUCUGGUCUGAGAGGACGACCAGCCACACUGGGACUGAGACACGGCCCAGACUCCUACGGGAGGCAGCAGUGGGGAAUUUUGGACAAUGGGCGCAAGCCUGAUCCAGCAAUGCCGCGUGCAGGAAGAAGGCCUUCGGGUUUUAAACUGCUUUUGUACGGAACGAAACGGCUCUGGUUAAUACCCGGGGCUAAUGACGGUACCGUAAGAAUAAGCACCGGCUAACUACGUG
rnacentral:rRNA from 1 species